AACGAACGCUGGCGGCAUGCCUAACACAUGCAAGUCGAACGGACGGUAGCAAUACCGUUAGUGGCGAACGGGUGAGUAACGCGUGGGAACCUGCCCAGUAGUACGGAAUAACUACGGGAAACUGUAGCUAAUACCGUAUGUGUCCUGAGGGACAAAGGAGCAAUCCGCUAUUGGAGGGGCCCGCGUCGGAUUAGCUAGUUGGUGGGGUAACGGCCUACCAAGGCGACGAUCCGUAGCUGGUCUGAGAGGAUGGCCAGCCACACUGGGACUGAGACACGGCCCAGACACCUACGGGUGGCUG
rnacentral:rRNA from 1 species